GUUGGCCCUUAUCGAAGUCACUCCCAUUCUCCUGUAGUGGGCGUGGUCAACAAGGCGCCGAAAGUGACACUUUUACCGACGGUCGCUGCUCAGUUUAAAUGGUAACUGUGACAGCAACAUUAAGGAAAAGGACACAC